rnacentral:snoRNA from 1 species
ACAAAAUGAUGACACAACUUUUUUCAGUUCUGCUUCCGACAUGAGACCAUGGUGGAUAACCCUUUACCAAAAUAAUAUUCUGAACC